rnacentral:lncRNA from 1 species
GGGGUCCCACAACCUUCACAGGACGUUGUGAAGGUCAUGGUGGGUCUGGGGUCUCCGGUCCAUGGGGAGAACAUGGUUGGGGUCCCACAUGUUCCAAAGGAGGAGGUUGUGGUGGGGAUGGGGUCUUCAGGCCAUGGGGAGAACCUGGUUGAGAUGGGGAUGGGGGCUUCAAACCAUGGGGAGAACCUGGCUGGGGUCCCACAGGUUCCAAAGGAGGAGGUGGUGGUUGUGGGUCUGGGGUCUUCAGGCCAUGGGGAGAAUGUGGUAGGGGUUGGGUUGGGGUCUUCAAACCAUGGGGAGAAUGUGGUUGGGGUCCCACAUGUUCCAAAGGAGGAGGUUGUGGUUGUGGGUCUGGGGUCUUCAGGCCAUGGGGAGAACCUGGCUGGGGUUGGGUUGGGGGCUUCAGGCCAUGGGGGCAACGUGGUAGGGGUCCCACAGCCUUCACAGGACAUUGUGAAGGUCAUGGUGGGUCUGGGGUCUUCAGGCCAUGGGGAGAACCUGGCUGGGGUCCCACAGGUUCCAAAGGAGGAGGUUGUGGUGGGUCUGGGGUCUCCGGUCCAUGGGGAGAACGUGGUUGGGGUCCCACAGGUCACCAAGGAGAACAUGGUUGUGGGUCUGGGGUCUUCAGGAUGUGGGGAGAACCUGGCUGGGGUCCCACAGCCUUCACAGGACGUUGUGAAGGUCAUGGUGGGGAUGGGGUCUUCAGUCCACGGGGAGAACAUGGCUGGGGUUGGGUUGGGGUCUUCAGG